AGUGACAGACUUGAAGUAGAGAGGAGGGGGACAAAAUUUCUUAAAAAAAAAAAAGAUGAAGCUCUCCAAACAAAAAAAGAAAAAAAAGAAAAGGAAGCUUUCUCUGUUUGUCGAUCAAUCCUUAUCGCUAAAGCUUAAUCAGACGUAGUUAGCUAACUCCAAUCGUUGUGAAAAUUGAAGGUAUUAGUGACGAGAUAACAAGUUUAAGCAGCGGGAUUUGAGGUAAGGAAAUUAGAUAGUUUUAUAUGUGUUUAUCUGCAUUUAAAUUCUUUAUGUAUUGAAAUAUGACUUAUGAUUUGUUUUUAUGAAUAUGUAUAUGGUACUGAGAAUGUGUGGUAUGGACACAAUAUGAGUUUGUGAAUUGAUACAUAGAUUAUGGUUGUAUGACUUGUAUAUGUUGUAUGUUGUAUUUGUAUGUUUCAGGUUGUGUGUUGUAUGAUGUAAUUGUAUGUUGCAUGUUAUAUGUUGUAUGUUGUAUGCUAACGUCUCAGGUAAAGUGGGGGACCAUGGUGGGGUGUGAUACGGGAUAAGGCCGUUGAAUGUAGAGAUACCCUACCCUACAUUUUACUGAGUCGUGUAUGAGAUUGUUAUGGUGGGUAUGAUACAGUGAUGUUACUGUUGAAUAUAGAGAUACCCUAUCCUAUAACAAUGGUAGGGCUGCAUAGGCCCAUGUUAUUAUAUGGGCAGAUUAGGCCCAGGAUAUUGAAGGGUCAGGCUAGGCCCGGGUUAUGUAAGUAAUGGCUAUGAUAUGCCAAUGUUGUGAUAAUGUUAUUAUUAUCUAUAGUAUUGAUAUGAUUAUGUUAUGAGUAUGAUAUUGGAGUUAUGAUC